rnacentral:rRNA from 1 species
CCUACGGGGGGCAGCAGUAGGGAAUCUUCGGCAAUGGACGGAAGUCUGACCGAGCAACGCCGCGUGAGUGAAGAAGGUUUUCGGAUCGUAAAGCUCUGUUGUAAGAGAAGAACGAGUGUGAGAGUGGAAAGUUCACACUGUGACGGUAUCUUACCAGAAAGGGACGGCUAACUACGUGCCAGCAGCCGCGGUAAUACGUAGGUCCCGAGCGUUAUCCGGAUUUAUUGGGCGUAAAGCGAGCGCAGGCGGUUUGAUAAGUCUGAAGUUAAAGGCUGUGGCUCAACCAUAGUUCGCUUUGGAAACUGUCAAACUUGAGUGCAGAAGGGGAGAGUGGAAUUCCAUGUGUAGCGGUGAAAUGCGUAGAUAUAUGGAGGAACACCGAUGGCGAAGGCAGGUCUCUGG